rnacentral:rRNA from 1 species
GACGAACGCUGGCGGCGUGCCUUACACAUGCAAGUCGAGCGAGAAAGCCCGCAAGGGUGAGUAAAGCGGCGCACGGGUGAGUAACACGUGGGUAAUCUGCCUUGAAGCUCGGGAUAACUCUCCGAAAGGGGUGCUAAUACCGGAUAAGACCACGGGAGCUUCGGCUCCUGAGGGAAAAGGUGGCCUCUGCAUGCAAGCCAUCACUUCGAGAUGAGCCCGCGGCCCAUCAGCUAGUUGGCGGGGUAACGGCCCACCAAGGCUACGACGGGUAGCUGGUCUGAGAGGAUGAUCAGCCACACUGGAACUGAGACACGGUCCAGACUCCUACGGGUGGCUG